CCCACGACCAUCGCUGUCUCUCUCUCUCAUUUUCAAAUUUGAAUCGUCUCUCUCUCUCUGACGCUCUACGUCAAAUAUCGUCGAUCAACUGCUCGCCGGAUCAAAUGGCCGACGCCGACGAGCUUGACGAAAUCGUCCGCCGAAAGCUGACGGCUUUGAUCUCAAGAGUUACCCAGGAAAUCGAAUUCCGUUGGGGCGACGAGUGCCUUCCACUGCCGAGAAUACUUCUUCAUGUUCUGGAUCCAGUGGAGGCCCUCAUUUCUUUUGAAUUGCAGAGAAUAAAAAACUCUCCGGCUUGGGAAGCCGCGGAAAGAAAGCGGAAAAUCAGAAAUUUGAUGGCCAUGCGUUGAAUUUUGUUUCUUUUCUUUCUGACAUUUUUUCUUAAUUAGGGUUUUUUUUUUUUUUGUGUGUGUGUGUGUUCAGGGCCCGAUGGACUUGGUUUCGACUGCACUGCAGCUCAAAACGAGAUUGGAUACUCACUGGAAAGGGGUUUGUUAUAUGAGACUACUGGCCCUAGGUGAUGAUUGGGAAAAUUUCUUCAAGUUUGCAGCUCCCCUCUAUUUUCUCAAGUUGAUUUCGUCACACUGUGGUGAUUGGUGUAUGUAAGGGAAUGCCAGUUUCACCAUGCUAGAGUUAAUCAGUCUCAUAUUAAUUUGAACUUUGGAACUUCAUAUUGAUCUUGUUGGAUAUAUUUUGCAGCACUGGUGUUAGCUUUCAUGCUGUAUUCCAUAUACGAGCAGUAUGAAUCAGAAGUUGCGAAGCUUCUGUUCAAUAGUAUAAUGCUGGUUUUUGGAUUUUUUAGAACAAAUCUACCUGCUUCUGUGCAUCUAUUUCUUGAGAAACAUGGAAUUUUGAUGCGUCAUAUGUGACAAUUAGCAUCUGAAGUAGCUGCCACUACCACUUGGAUGGCAUUUGGGCAUAGUUUUUCUAACUGGACAAAUUCAAUGUUCUGCUAGUUUAGGGUUGUAUGAAAAUAUAAAUUUCGUGUAAACCCAACAAAAUAAUUACCACAUUACAGACUCU